rnacentral:rRNA from 1 species
UACGAAGGGUGCUAGCGUUGCUCGGAAUCACUGGGCGUAAAGGGUGCGUAGGCGGGUUUUUGAGUCAGGGGUGAAAUCCUGGAGCUCAACUCCAGAACUGCCUUUGAUACUGAAGAUCUUGAGUUCGGGAGAGGUGAGUGGAACUGCGAGUGUAGAGGUGAAAUUCGUAGAUAUUCGCAAGAACACCAGUGGCGAAGGCGGCUCACUGGCCCGAUACUGACGCUGAGGCACGAAAGCGUGGGGAGCAAACAGG